GGAGGGGUGUCCGAGUGGUUUAUGGAGCUGGUCUUGAAAACCAGUGACGCAGCAAUGCGCCGUGGGUUCGAAUCCCACCCUCUCCGCCA
rnacentral:tRNA from 4 species